UGCCUGUAAGACCUGGGAUAACAUCGAGAAAUCGGUGCUAAUACCGGAUAUAAAAAGAACUGCAUGGUUCUUUUUGAAAGAUGGUUUCGGCUAUCACUUACAGAUGGGGCCCNCGGCGCAUUAGCUAGUUGGUGAGGUAACGGGCUCACCAAGGCGACGAUGCGUAGCCGACCUGAGAGGGUGAUCGGCCACACUGGGACUGAGACACGGCCCAGACUCCUACGGGAGGCAGCAGUAGGGAAUCUUCCGCAAUGGACGAAAGUCUGACGGAGCAACGCCGCGUGAGUGAUGAAGGUUUUCGGAUCGUAAAACUCUGUUGUUAGGGAAGAACAAGUGCCGUUCGAAAGGGCGGCACCUUGACGGUACCUAACGAGAAAGCCACGGCUAACUACGUG
rnacentral:rRNA from 1 species